GACGAACGCUGGCGGCGUGCUUAACACAUGCAAGUCGAACGGAAAGGCCCUGCUUGCCGGGUACUCGAGUGGCGAACGGGUGAGUAACACGUGGGUGAUCUGCCCUGCACUUCGGGAUAAGCCUGGGAAACUGGGUCUAAUACCGGAUAGGAGCCAUUUUUAGUGUGAUGGUUGGAAAGUUUUUUCGGUGUAGGAUGAGCUCGCGGCCUAUCAGCUUGUUGGUGGGGUAAUGGCCUACCAAGGCGGCGACGGGUAGCCGGCCUGAGAGGGUGGACGGCCACAGUGGGACUGAGAUACGGCCCAGACUCCUACGGGAGGCAGCAGUGGGGAAUAUUGCACAAUGGGCGCAAGCCUGAUGCAGCGACGCCGCGUGGGGGAUGACGGCCUUCGGGUUGUAAACGCCUUUCGCUAGGGACGAAGCUUUUUGUGACGGUACCUAGAGAAGAAGCACCGGCUAACUACGUG
rnacentral:rRNA from 1 species